GGCAGCGGGGGGCGGCGCCGCCGCGGCCUCCCAGGCGCGUCCCCCGCCGCUGUGCGGGGAGGAGCGGGCGGAAGCCCGAGUUUCCCCCGUUAAAAGAAACAAAAAUAAAUAACCACUAAGUGGCCACAGAGGAGAGCACAGACAUGUCUCACUUCGAAAAUAAAGGACUGAUCCUGGGCGUAAUGGCAGGGACCGCAGGCAUCAGCCUCCUCCUCAUCUGGUACCAUAAGAUCCGCAGACCCGGCGCGGCUGUGAGCGCACCCGCGCUGCUAGCUGUGGGCGAAAGGUUUGAUCCUGCGCGCUUGCAAAACGAAGCGCACGGCGAGCAGGGAGCUGUCAUGGUUUUGCACGGAAGGCAGCUUCAGAUACUAGAAAAACUGAGCGGCUUGCUGGUCAGCGUGGACGAACUGAAGAGGGAGGUGAAAUUCCUCAAGGAGGCCCUGCCCAAGCUGGAAGAGCUUGUCCGAGCGGAGCUGCAGGGCAAGGGCGCCGUGCAGAGAGUGAGCCCGUCGCACAGGGCAGCCAGGCGGAGGAGAGCAGAGGCGGCUCCCGGCGCGGCGGAAACCACCAGCUCCGAGGAGGCCGAAAGCGAAGGGGGUUAUAUUACAGCUCAUACUGAUACUGAAGGAGAGUCUGAGGAAGAAAAGGGAUGGAUGAAAUCACCUGAUGUUAUGAGACUGGAAGAAGAAGAAGAAGAGUUAUUUAACUUUUUACUACAGGUGGACAGUUUGCACAAGGGUUCAGAAGAUGAUAAAAAAGAGAGUUUCAGACUGCUGCUUGAGAAAGAAGACAAGUAUGAAAACUGUGCAAGCUUUCUUUGGAGAGUUGCUCGUGCUUAUGGAGAUCUGUUUGAGAUGACUACAGAUGCUGAGGAAAAGAAAAAGUAUGUUACUGAUGGGAAGAUUAAAGCUGAAAAGGCCAUCCAGCUGGAUGCCAGGAAUGCAGAGAGUCAUCAGUGGUUUGCAAUUAUGUGUGGCUAUAUGUCUCAGUUUGAAAGUGUACAAAACAAAAUCAGGAAUGGUUAUCUCUUUAAGGAACACCUAGACAAAGCAAUUGAACUUAAGCCUCAAGAUCCCUUUUUAUACUACCUAAAUGGAAGAUGGUGCUAUUCAGUAGCUCAGUUGUCUUGGAUUGAAAAGAAAGUAGCUGCUGCUCUUUUUGGGACUCCACCAACUUCAACAGUAGAAGAAGCAUUGCAGAAUUUCCUUAAGGCAGAAGAAAUGUGUCCAGGAUAUUCCAAGUCAAAUUAUGUGUAUUUGGCAAAGUGCUAUAAAGAUCUUGGCCAGAAAAACAGUGCACUGAAGUACUGUGAUUCUGCGCUGUCGGUUCUCCCGGUUACUAAUGAGGUGAUGUGGUAUAACAUUGGCUCUGGGCAUAGCAGAUCGCUUGCCUCUUGCUCCCACCCUGGCUGCUCUCUGCUGUGAGCCCGGUAGUGUAGGCAGAGCCCACGCACUGCCGUAUGGAAGAUACCAAGGAUGUAGUCAUUCCAUAGUGGGAUGUUGUAGGAUAAAGAGGCCCAGAAAGACUUAGAGGCUUUACUUCUCACACUGAAGCUGUGACACUGUGCACUUUUAACUCUUCACGCUGUGAUAAAAUUGCAGAAUCAAAAUGAGAAUCUGUAGUCACAGGAAACUGCAGGUCAAUUCCAGCUAAGCCGAUGGGAAACCUGUCCUUGAUUUCAGUGAGUUUGGAUCAUGGCCUAGGAUAUGAAAAUGAUGCAUUAAUUUCUUUGAAUAUUUAUAAUUCUUGUAUUUAAUUUUAGAUUUUUGGCACUGUGAGUUCGAUUCUGUGAACAUGAAGUCCACUGCUGGCAAUGGACAUACUGGGGGUUAGAGUGCAAAUUGCAUAAAUCUUACGAUUUGAAAGGUUAACCAACUAAACUGCGAUGCCAGCAUAGAACUGCAUGUAGCAAAAACAAAAAAAAUAAUUUUUAUUUCUAUAGUAAAUUAUAUUUGUAUCAACUGAUCUGCACAGAUGUAUGCAAAGGGAAAUCAUGAAUGUUUUGUUUACACAUUUACUCUUAAAAAAUCAGAAUCUUGUUGAAAUUAAAGAAGAAGCUGUUGCCUUCACAAAGCUCUUUUUACUUUAAAUCUACUGUUGGUUUUACAUGGAAAUAUGAAAACUUUAUAAAUUAAAUACUGAAGUUAUAUUUUAUGUUAUUUGUAACCUCAACAAGUAAAAUAUUAAAAAUAAGACCAAUAAU